AUUGAACGCUGGCGGCAGGCCUAACACAUGCAAGUCGAACGAGUGGCGGACGGGUGGGUAAUGUCUGUGAAACUGCCCGAUGGAGGGGGAUAACUACUGGAAACGGUAGCUAAUACCGCAUACCAUCGGAUGUGCCCAGAUGGGAUUAGCUAGUAGGUGGGGUAACGGCUCACCUAGGCGACGAUCCCUAGCUGGUCGGAGAGGAUGACCAGCCACACUGGAACUGAGACACGGUCCAGACUCCUACGGGAGGCAGCAGUGGGGAAUAUUGCACAAUGGGCGCAAGCCUGAUUCAGCCAUGCCGCGUGUAUGAAGAAGGCCUGCGGGUUGUAAAGUACUUUCAGCGAGGAGGCGUUACUCGCAGAAUAAGCACCGGCGAACUCCGUGCCAGCAGCCGCGGUAAUAC
rnacentral:rRNA from 1 species